GGUCAAGGUCACUGGUCGGCGUCCAGGUUUCCCCGCGGGAGCAGAGCCGGUCCCCGAGCCCCUCCGAGCGCAGCGCCGCCUGCCCGAGGUUAACGCAGGCGGUACGGAGGGAGCUGCCGUCCAGUCCAGUCGGCUCCGCCGCGCGGCUCCCCGUCAUGCUGGCAGUAACCUGAAGAAGACGUGGAGACAUUCCGGGGGUCCCAUCCUGGCCCACUGAUGUGUUUCUCUUCUCCAUCCUCCAUCACAGGUCAGUUAAAAGCUGCUGUGACCGCCUCCAGGGUUCAUAGCGGCUCUGUCCCCAGGAGCCAACAGGUAGAAGCACCCAAACGUCCAUCAGUGAGUGCCUGGCUACAGAAAUCGUGGUGCAUCCACACAGCGGAAUAUCCUUUGGCCACGAAAAGGGGUGAAGCCCUGACUCCUGCUACAACGUGAACCUCGAAAGCGCUGUCAAGUGAGAGGAGCCAGACACCAAGGGGCCCAGAGGGACGGUCCAGACCUGGCAGAGACA